UUCCAAAAGCAGGAGGAGUCUUGGCCAACACAUGCUUCACCCUUUCAGGCAGCUGACAUAAUUGAGCUAAGACAGGAUGUCCAGGAUGUCAUCUUUCAAGGUAUUAAUGUAAUACUAGGUUUCUCUCAAUUUGUAAUCCAUUUGUUCAUUCUUUUACCCUCAGCUACUAUUCUUCCUUCUCUUCAUUUAUACCCAAACUUUUCCACCUCUGGAAGAGACAUUAGGUUCAGCUACUGUGCUUGUCUACACUGCAGGCAACAAUACUAGUCUAGCAGCAAGUUCCUUCCCUUCAGUUCAUUCCCAUUGACAUAGGAUAAGGUGAAACAGGUGCAAAACUGUGGAUGAUGAUGCAGGAUAUUUUCAUGACCCCUUUGUUGGAUUAAUGGCAGGGUGUCUCGUUUACUUAGCCUACCCCAUUCAACCCCUUGUGGGAGGGAGCCUGUGAGCAAACGGGCACAGGAACUGACUGGCUUCUGUGGUGCCAGCAAAAGCAAAUUCCACUUGCUUGGGUCUGCUGUGCUUCACCCCUCAUGGGAGGACGCAUGCAGGUGAGCAAGUGCAGAAACCAGCUGCUUUAGUGCCAGCAGGAGUGAACUCUGUGCAGGCCCCAUGGCAGCAUCUAGCUGGAGGUGGCUGCGACCCCAAGGCCCCAGAGGGCGUGUUACAAUGCUCUCUUAGCUCCAUUGUCUGAAGACAGCAGUGUGUUAUCAGCUCAGUGGGCCCUUUGCCUCAUUUUGUGGGGUGGCUGCCCUCCACCAGCAAGGGCAAAGGGCCAGUGUGACAGCCUUUUUGGGUACCUGCACCUGGUGAGUCCCAAAUUCUUAUCUGGUGCCCAAGAGGAAUAAGGUCCCGCAGACGAAUUGAAGGAUGGUGAAUGUGGAGCAUUUUAUUGAGUAAUGAAAGUGGCUCUCAGAGGAGAGGGGAGCUGGAAAGAGGAUGGGAAGGGCAGGUCGCUGUCCCCUGAAGUCAAGCUGCCUCUCUACCUCUCUCUUCCAAAGUUAAGUUGCCUCAUCCAGCCACCAUCUCUGAAGUCGAAGUUGCCUCUCCCCAGUGUCCAGCUGCUUCUUCUGAUGUCCAGCCACUUCUUCUCUCUGUCAGCUGAGUAUGGGUUCUUUAUAGGCACAGGAUGGGAUCAAGGGGGCUGUAGGUAGUUUUGGAAAAGGCAACAUUCAAUUGGUAAAAAGACAUUACUCAGAACCAAUCAGGAGAGAGUGGGCUAACAGAAAUGGAAGUUCUCACUUUGGGCCGUGGGUUUCAGGCUUUUUGUCUCGAAGGUGGGGUUUUGCCAGAGACCUACCCCAUUUGUCUAGAAUUUCUGUGCCUUCUGUUGCUAACACUGUUUUUACCACCAGGCCAUAUAGUUGCAUUUACUGCUAACCCCAAUUAUGCUAGAUGGAGUGAAGUACAACCCACUUCUAUCAGGCCCUUAGGAAUUCUAGCAUAAGAUUUCUUAGGAAUUAUACCUACUUCCAGCACUUGUAGUCGUAGCCCUGGUCCUGUGACCACUGCAUCAGGUAGGGAGAUAAAAGUUGAGGUAAUACAUGGAGAAAAGGAAAAAAGUAGGAUCAUUAUACCAGCAUAUUCCCCCCUUGGCAAGAAUCGCAUAGUCAUACCUGCAUACUCUCCAAUCCCUCUUCCUCAGAUGCACCAGAAAAAUGGAGAAUUUUAGAUCCUUUAGUUCCACUAGUGUUGAGUGUGAGCACACAGUCAUGAAGGUGUGUAAUCCAAUCUUUAUGCUUUUAAAUAGUGGUUUUAAAUCAAUGUUUUAAUUGCCUGUUCUACUUCCCUAUCAAACCAUUACUCUAAGGAGAAUAUCUCUCUGCCUAUUGCUGGACAUUACAGGCUGUACAGUGUGUUCCUUAGUCUGAAGAAAUGAUAUUGGCCAAUAAAUCCAUGCAAUAUCUUAUUUUCUGGUUUAUAUCUAUAUCUCCUUUUUCCCAGAUAUGAACCACAAUUCUUAAGGUUACUGGUAAAUACAAUUAGCGUAUUACAUAAUUGUUUAUUUCCUUUAACCCACACAACAUGCAAUAGUUUCAGAAUAACAGUACUAAAUGCAACCAACAAUAUGAUUACUGAAAAUAGUUUUGAUCUUUUUGUUUUUCAUCUCUUUUGUGCUGCAAUGAUAUCACUGUGUUUUAAACUCACUUGGAAUAGUUAGCCUCUAUGUUUAUGCCUCCAACUAAGUAUACAAUUAAGUUAAUUUGUUAUGUUUUAUUCUCAAUUUGUAGAUGUCUUUUAAAAAAUUAUCUUUUGUUUUACAAUAAGGUAGGAAAUUCACAUGGCUCCAAAGUCAAACAUACCAAGCAGUUUGUAGUAAGCACAAUCACAUCUCCCUAACGAUGUUUACCUCCUAAACCAGAUGUGUGGUGCAAGAAAAGGGUCCAAUUUCAUUCUUUUGCACGUGGAUAUUUGGUUAUCCCAACACCACUUAUUGAAGAGACUCUCUUUUCUUCAUUUUGUCUUCUUGGUGCUCUUGUCAAAAAUUUGUUGAAUGUAUAUAGAUGGUUAAUUUUGGGCUCUCUAUUCGGUUCCAUUGGUCUGUUUCACAGUAUCACCAGGCUGGAGUGCAGUGGUGUGAUCUUGGCUCACUGGAACUUCCAUCUCCAGG
rnacentral:lncRNA from 1 species